rnacentral:rRNA from 1 species
CAGUCGCCACGGGAAUACGGAGGGGGCGAGCGUUGUCCGAAGUUACUGGGCGUAAAGCGCGUGUAGGCGGGUUGCCAAGUCUGUCGUGAAAGCCCGGUGCUUAACGCCGGAGGGUCGGUGGAUACUGGCAGUCUUGAAGUGGCUAGGGGGAGAUGGAAUUACCGGUGUGGCGGUGAAAUGCGUAGAUAUCGGUAGGAACGCCAGUGGCGAAGGCGGUCUCCUGGAGCUUGCUUGACGCUGAGACGCGAAAGCUGGGGGAGUGAACGGGAUUAGAUACCCCCGUAGUCCCUGUCUCUUAUAC